rnacentral:rRNA from 1 species
AUGCCGCGGUGAAUACGUUCCCGGGCCUUGUACACACCGCCCGUCACACCACGAGAGUCUGUAACACCCGAAGUCGGUGAGGUAACCCUUCCGGGAGCCAGCCGCCGAAGGUGGGACAGAUGAUUGGGGUGAAGUCGUAACAAGGUAGCCGUAUCGGAAGGUGCGGCUGGAUCACCUCCUUUCU